CCUACGGGUGGCAGCAGUGAGGAAUAUUGGUCAAUGGUCGGGAGACUGAACCAGCCAAGCCGCGUGAGGGAUGAAGGUACAGAGUAUCGUAAACCUCUUUUGUCAGGGAACAAAGGCGGGGACGUGUCCCCGGAUGAGUGUACCUGAAGAAAAAGCAUCGGCUAACUCCGUGCCAGCAGCCGCGGUAAUACGGAGGAUGCUAGCGUUAUCCGGAUUUAUGGGGUUUAAAGGGUGCGAGGGCGGUCUGUUAAGUCAGCGGGAAAAGCCCGGGGCUCAACCCCGGCCCGCCGUUGAAACUGGCAGUCUCGAGUUGGAGAGAGGUAUGCGGAAUGCGUGGUGUAGCGGUGAAAUGCAUAGAUAUCGCGCAGAACUCCGAUUGCGAAGGCAGCAUGCCGGCUCCACACUGACGCUGAGGCACGAAAGCGUGGGUAUCGAACAGGAUUAGAUACCCUAGUAGUC
rnacentral:rRNA from 1 species